rnacentral:rRNA from 1 species
GAUGAACGCUGGCGGCGUGCCUAAUACAUGCAAGUCGAGCGAACAGACGAGGAGCUUGCUCCUCUGACGUUAGCGGCGGACGGGUGAGUAACACGUGGAUAACCUACCUAUAAGACUGGGAUAACUUCGGGAAACCGGAGCUAAUACCGGAUAAUAUCUUGAACCGCAUGGUUCAAUAGUGAAAGACGGUUUUGCUGUCACUUAUAGAUGGCUCCGCGCCGCAUUAGCUAGUUGGUAAGGUAACGGCUUACCAAGGCAACGCUGCGUAGCCGACCUGAGAGGGGGAUCGGCCAAACUGGAACUGAGACACGGUCCAGACUCCUACGGGAGGCAGCAGUAGGGAAUCUUCCGCAAUGGGCGAAAGCCUGACGGAGCAACGCCGCGUGAGUGAUGAAGGUCUUCGGAUCGUAAAACUCUGUUAUUAGGGAAGAACAAAUGUGUAAGUAACUAUGCACGUCUUGACGGUACCUAAUCAGAAAGCCACGGCUAACUACGUG